rnacentral:rRNA from 1 species
UACGGGGGGAGCAAGCGUUGUUCGGAUUUACUGGGCGUAAAGGGCGCGUAGGCGGCCACCGCAAGUCGACUGUGAAAUCUCCGGGCUUAACCCGGAAAGGUCAGCCGAUACUGCGGGGCUAGAGUGCAGAAGGGGCAACUGGAAUUCUCGGUGUAGGUGAAAUGCGUAGAUAUCGAGAGGAACACCUGCGGCGAAGGCGGGUUGCUGGGCUGACACUGACGCUGAGGCGCGAAAGCUAGGGGAGCGAACGGG